UCAUAUAUCAACCAAUUGAAGGAUGAAUCGAGGCUCAAAUUCAAGAAGGAACAUGAAUUAACGAUCACCCAAGCUAGGGGAUCAUAAGGAAUCAUGUCAAGAUGGAUGGGAGCGUUGAAGGCUAACGGGCUAAGAAGACUCAAUCAAGUAAGCGAACGAAAAUACGGACGCGCAAGGCUAUAUAUGUUUGGAUGUUUCAUCUAGAAGU
rnacentral:lncRNA from 1 species